rnacentral:lncRNA from 1 species
CACAUAGCUUGUCGUGCCCGGCAUUCCAACGUAAUGACUAGUGGCUGCGAUGCACAGCUUGCUCGUUGGGCUGGAAGUUUUCCGCUACGGGUUAAGGUUGGGAGACUUCCAAGUCUUGCCUCCUCCCAAUUGUCCAAGACUCUGAACUUUCAAUCACACGUACCUUCCUAGAAACAUCUUCCGUUCUUCCUUGCCUGCCUCCGCUCUCAAGUAUAUAUGCGCAUGCUCUCUCGCUUGCACUUGGCAAACACCAUUAAGAAAGAAAGGAGGUAAGGGUGGGUGAAAAAGGAGGGCAAGUUCGGCUCUUCGCAAGAGCAUGGCUUUUCAUCAGAAUCCCUUCGUCCGUGUAAUCCUGGUACUCUCUGUUCUCCGGCUUCUAAUUUUCCAACCAGUCUCCGCUACCCUACCCCGCCUCAUUGAUCGUCAAGCCUGUAUCCGGAGCUCUAGAGGUUGGCAUUGUUCUGAUCCGCACCGGGGACGAAUUCCUGCGCCCAGGCCUGGCCCGCGUUCAUACAGGCGACACAUUCCAGCCCGGUAUUUUAAAGCUCACCCGCGUCCAUCGAGACGACCUACUCCGCAUCGAUACAUUCCAUCACCACCGUACGGUAGACCCUAGGAACGGACGUGGACGCAGCGUUCUCUCAGUAUGCAAAAGAUUAUGAUCUUCCUCACCUUACGGCACGCGAGACAGAGAGAGAACGAGAGAUUGUGAUCUUGUAAUAGUUGUACUUUGAACUGCUUUUGUGAUAGUCAUACCGAAUUUGCCGAGUUUGCAGGCUUAAAUAGAUAAAGAUUUCAAAAGACCAGAAGAUCGACAGUCUUCAAUUUCUCUCUUCCCCUCGCCGCACAAAACAACCAUCGAACACACAUCAUGCAAGUAUUUACAGUAUAAAAAAAGAACAAGUUUAACUCCUUAAUUUGUUUGAUAUUGGGUUCGAGUCCCACCUAAGCCCAUCUUCU